rnacentral:lncRNA from 1 species
AGGCGACUGCUCCCGCGAGGUCAGAGCCGGGCUGUGCCGCUGCCCCCGGGACUAGAAAGGGAAAUCUCCUUGCUAGAGGAGGAAGCCCUAAGAACUCAAGGGAGAUAGGGGUGGCAGGGGCAUUUCCCUGGAUGCCUGGAGCAUGGAGGGUGCGAAAUAAGGAGGCUUUCCUACCCCAUUGAUGAGCUGAAGUUGAUUCCGCACGGGGGAGGAAAGGGACAGGAAGCAUAAUUGGAUGUGCAAGCCUGUGGUUCUUCAGGAAGUUAACACGUGGAACUAACACUGUUGGAUGCUGCUGAACUCUCAGGAGGCUUUCCGGAAGCACUAAGAAAUAGAACUAGUUUGUCUAAUUUGGAAUUAAAAGAGUAACCAACUGAGUGUCUUCAGCAGUGACAAUGAAAAUGUACCACUUCCCAUUUUGAUAAUUCAAAGAGCCUUAAGAAAGAUCGUUUUGCUUGAAAGCACUAUUUCACACUGACACUGGUCAUUCAUAGGCUUCAGAUAAGAAAAACUCCAGCAGUGUCCAGAUCAAGCCAUCCUGACUUUGUCUCUAGGCGGCUUAACCUCAAGUCACAGCCUGGUCUCUGCAGCAGAGCCAGGC